rnacentral:lncRNA from 10 species
GGACCAGGGAAGGUUUCACUGAAUAUUUUGACAAACACCCAAAGGAAGUGAGAGAGUUCACCACGUGGAUAUCUGGCGGAAAAACAUUCUAGGCAAAGGGCACAGCCAUGCAAAGCUCAGAGGCAUGAGGAUGUCAGGAUGCUAAGGAGUGGCUGGGGGCCAGUGUUGGGGAGUAGAGAUGAGGUCAGAUGAUAACAGCAGGCCAGAUCAUGCUGUGUUGCAGGUCGUGGUUAAGACACUGGCUUUUUUUCCUGAAAGAGAAUAAGAAAUUCAAGGGUCACAGUGAUAAUUUCCCGUAUGAGGUGAUGGGGGCCUGAACUGGAGUGACAAGAAUGGAACAAAAAGGAAAGGCAGAGGCACAAGAGUGACUGAGAGCACACAGCCCUCUUCCCAGCCCCACACCAGCCUCCACUAAGGUAGAAGUGAACAACCCAACCCAAUGUGACUACUUCAAAAUGUUGUUGUUAUGGAUCAGAGACGAGUAUGAGUCCUAGGAAAACUGCAAAGCAUUGUAUGAAGGAAGAAGAAUAGAGUAACAGAAGCCAGAGAAUCAUAGUAGUAGACGCCUUUGAGAUGACCCCCAUUGAUUCCCCUGAGCCAAAGUGUUACAGAGCAGAGAGAAUUUCCACCCAAGAGUCAAGUGGGGAAAGGGAACAACAGGACCCUCGUCGUCCCUGCUGGACCCCAUCUGCCACUGUGGUCAAGACCUUCAGAAGCACAACUUAGCACUAUUGGGGCCCUCUACCUUAUCAAAGGCAAGAGACUGGAGUUCCCCCUACCUUUUUUAUAAGCUCCUGCCACCUUCCUUUUUAUUUGAAAGAAUCAAAGAGGCUCCAACCCUUUUCAUUGCUCAAUAAAUAGUAAUACUGAAUUAAAUAAAGAUUGCUCAUUUCCAUACAUUGAGUCCAGAAGAG